GACGAACGCUGGCGGCGUGCUUAACACAUGCAAGUCGAACGGAGUGGCGAACGGGUGAGUAACACGUGGGUGAUCUGCCUUGCACUUCGGGAUAAGCUUGGGAAACUGGGUCUAAUACCGGAUAGUGCAAGAUGAGCUCGCGGCCUAUCAGCUUGUUGGUGGGGUAAUGGCCUACCAAGGCGUCGACGGGUAGCCGGCCUGAGAGGGUGUACGGAGACAUUGGGACUGAGGUACGGGCCAGACGAAUACGGGAGGCAGCAGUGGGGAAGAUUGCACAAUGGGCGGAAGCCUGAUGCAGCGAGGGGGGGUGGGGGAUGAAGGCCUUAGGGUUGUAAACGCCUUUCGACAGGGACGCGGUACCUGUAUAAGAAGCACCGGCUAACUCUGUGCCAGCAGCCGCGGUAAUAC
rnacentral:rRNA from 1 species